rnacentral:rRNA from 1 species
UCAAGUGAAUAAGUGCAUGUGGUGGAUGCCUUGGCGAUUACAGGCGAUGAAGGACGUUGUAGCCUGCGAAAAGCCGCGGGGAGCUGGCAAACAAGCUUUGAUCCGCGGAUGUCCGAAUGGGGAAACCCACCCGCAAGGGUAUCGCUGACUGAAUCCAUAGGUCAGCGAGGCGAACGUGGCGAACUGAAACAUCUAAGUAGCCACAGGAAAAGAAAUCAACCGAGAUUCCGAAAGUAGUGGCGAGCGAAAUCGGAGCAGCCUGUGCGUGAUAGUCGAUUGGCUAGUGGAACGGUAUGGAAAGGCCGGCCAUAGAGGGUGAUAGCCCCUUACACGAAAGCGAAUCGGUGGUACUGAGCGUACGACAAGUAGGGCGGGACACGUGUAAUCCUGUCUGAAGAUGGGGGGACCAUCCUCCAAGGCUAAAUACUCGUAAUCGACCGAUAGUGAACAAGUACUGUGAAGGAAAGGCGAAAAGAACCCCGGGAGGGGAGUGAAAUAGAUCCUGAAACCGCAUGCAUACAAACAGUCGGAGCCUCGCAAGGGGUGACGGCGUACCUUUUGUAUAAUGGGUCAGCGACUUACGUUCAGUGGCAAGCUUAACCAGAUAGGGGAGGCGCAGGGAAACCGAGUCCGAAUAGGGCGCCAUAGUCGCUGGGCGUAGACCCGAAACCAGGUGAUCUAUCCAUGGUCAGGAUGAAGGUUGGGUAACACCAGCUGGAGGUCCGAACCGACUAAUGUUGCAAAAUUAGCGGAUGAACUGUGGAUAGGGGUGAAAGGCUAAUCAAACCUGGAAAUAGCUGGUUCUCCCCGAAAACUAUUUAGGUAGUGCGUCAUGUAUUGCUCCAGGGGGUAGAGCACUGUAAUGGUUGUGGGGGCCAUCGCGGCUUACCACGCCAUAGCAAACUCCGAAUACCUGGAAGUAUGAGCAUGGCAGACAGUCGCCGGGUGCUAACGUCCGGCGGCAAGAGGGAAACAACCCAGACCUACAGCUAAGGUCCCAAAGUGUGGCUAAGUGGGAAACGAAGUGGGAAGGCUAAAACAGUCAGGAUGUUGGCUUAGAAGCAGCCAUCAUUUAAAGAAAGCGUAAUAGCUCACUGAUCGAGUCGUCCUGCGCGGAAGAUGUAACGGGGCUAAGCCAUGCACCGAAGCUUAGGCUGCACUCUCUGAGUGCGGGGUAGGGGAGCGUUCUGUAAGCCUGUGAAGGUGUCUCGUAAGGGAUGCUGGAGGUAUCAGAAGUGCGAAUGCUGACAUGAGUAGCGUUAAAGCGGGUGAAAAGCCCGCUCGCCGUAAGCGCAAGGUUUCCUACGCAACGUUCAUCGGCGUAGGGUGAGUCGGCCCCUAAGGUGAGGGCGAAAGCCAUAGCUGAUGGGAAGCUGGUUAAUAUUCCAGCACCGAUUUCUAGUGCGAUGGGGGGACGGAUCGUGGAAGGUUGUCCGGGUGUUGGAAGUCCCGGUUCCUGACCUGUAGGUGUCUGGUAGGUAAAUCCGCCAGGCGUAUGCCGAGGGGUUGGGACGAGCGAGCUUGCUCGCGAAGCAACUGGAAGUGGUUCCAAGAAAAGCCUCUAAGCUUCAGCUAGAAACGACCGUACCGCAAACCAACACUGGUGCGCGAGAUGAGUAUUCUCAGGCGCUUGAGAGAACUCGGGAGAAGGAACUCGGCAAAUUGACACCGUAACUUCGGAAGAAGGUGUGCCUUGGUAGCUUGAGUGUGAACAACACAAGGGCAAAGAGGUUGCAAAGAAUAGGUGGCUGCGACUGUUUAUUAAAAACACAGCACUCUGCAAACACGAAAGUGGACGUAUAGGGUGUGACGCCUGCCCGGUGCCGGAAGGUUAAGUGAUGGGGUGCAAGCUCUUGAUCGAAGCCCCGGUAAACGGCGGCCGUAACUAUAACGGUCCUAAGGUAGCGAAAUUCCUUGUCGGGUAAGUUCCGACCUGCACGAAUGGCAUAAUGAUGGC